rnacentral:tRNA from 1 species
UAGAUUAUAGUGUGAUACGGUAGCACGGAGAAUUUUGAAUUCUUAAGGAUAGGUUCAAUUCCUAUUGUUCUAG